GAGAGUAUAGCUCAGUAGUAGAGUGCAUGCUUAGCAUGCACAAGGUCCUGGGUUCAAUCUCCAGUACCUCCA
rnacentral:tRNA from 1 species